CCUGACCUUGGCUCAAAGCAAGAAGAAAGAGCCUGGGGAACUAAUCAAGGCAAAAGAAGCCCUAUAAAAACAAAACAACAAUGAUGACAACAAUAACAACAAAAAGCUCUAAGUGAAUCUGUCUCCUUCAUUGUUGUUAUUUCAACAGCAGAUGGCGUCAGAAACCCAGGCCCUGGGAGAGAGUUAGCAUCCCAUGGAUUGGCAGCCCAUAUACAUGCCCUCGUUCUCUGCAGUUUCAGCAUUUUGUCAACACUGAUAAAUUUUUGGCAAUCUUUAAAGUUUGUUGUGAUGACACCUUUUAUACUUUCAGUUCUACACAUGUAAGGAAGAAAGAUUACAAGGCCUGGGAAAGAAUGUCUUAUCAAGUAAGGAGAUGGAAAAAAGCAGCAGUAGGCUGGCAGAAAUGGGGCUAAGGAGAAUCAGCUGACAGCUCCAGUGGGAGCAGAGGAGGAAACUUCAGGGACAUGAGGAGAAACGAAAAGCAAACACAUGGUGUGAACUACAGGAAACAUACGCUCUGGAAUUA